rnacentral:rRNA from 1 species
AAAGCUCAGUAACACGUGGGUAACCUGCCCUAUGCUGGGGGAUAACCUCGGGAAACUGAGAAUAAUACCCCAUAGUUCACCACGCCUGGAACGGUGGGUGGACCAAAGCUCCGGCGGCAUAGGAUGGGCCUGCGGCGUAUCAGGUUGUAGGGGGUGUAAUGUACCCUCUAGCCCUCUACGCGUACGGGUGUUGAGAGACAUCGCCCGGAGAUGGAUUCUGAGACACGAAUCCAGACCCUACGGGGUGCAGCAGGCGCGAAAACUUGGCAAUGCGAGAAAUCGUGACCAGGGAACUCCAAGUGCAUCGGGUAAGACCGAUGCUUUUCUUGACUCUUCAAAGGUCUUGGAAUAAGGGGUGGGUAAGGACGGUGCCAGCCGCCGCGGUAAUACCGGCGCCCCAAGUGGUAGUCGCUUUUAUUGGGCCUAAAACGUCCGUAGCCGGUCUGGUACAUUCGUGGGUAAAUCAACCAGCUCAACUGGUUGAAUUCUGCGAGCACGGCCAGACUUGGGACCGGGAGAGGUGUGGGGUACUCUAAGGGUAGGGGUAAAAUCCUGUCAUCCUGAGAGGACCACCUGUUGCGAAGGCGCCACACUAGAACGGAUCCGACGGUCAGGGACGAAGCCUAGGGGCACGAACCGGAUUAGAUACCCGGGUAGUCCUAGGUGUAAACGCUGUGGACUUGAUGUUGGGGGCGCUCCGAGCGCACUCAGUGUCGAAGCGAAGGUGAUAAGUCCACUGCCUGGGGAGUACGGUCGCAAGGCUGAAACUUAAAGGAAUUGGCGGGGGAGCAC